UUGAACGCUGGCGGCAUGCCUUACACAUGCAAGUCGAACGGUAACAGGUCUUCGGAUGCUGACGAGUGGCGAACGGGUGAGUAAUACAUCGGAACGUGCCCGAUCGUGGGGGAUAACGCAGCGAAAGCUGUGCUAAUACCGCAUACGAUCUACGGAUGAAAGCGGGGGACCUUCGGGCCUCGCGCGAUUGGAGCGGCUGAUGUCGGAUUAGCUAGUUGGUGGGGUAAAGGCCUACCAAGGCGACGAUCCGUAGCUGGUCUGAGAGGAUGAUCAGCCACACUGGGACUGAGACACGGCCCAGACUCCUACGGGAGGCAGCAGUGGGGAAUUUUGGACAAUGGGCGCAAGCCUGAUCCAGCCAUGCCGCGUGAGUGAAGAAGGCCUUCGGGUUGUAAAGCUCUUUCAGACGGAAAGAAAUCGGGCGCGUGAAUAGCGUGCCUGGAUGACGGUACUGUCAGAAGAAGCACCGGCUAACUACGU
rnacentral:rRNA from 1 species